rnacentral:misc_RNA from 2 species
AACGCACAUUGCGCCCCUUGGUAUUCCGAGGGGCAUGCCUGUUCGAGCGUCAUUAUCAACCAUCAAGCCCAGCUUGGUAUUGGGCGCCCGUCCCCGUAACGGGGGGCGCGCCCUAAAGCACUCGGCGGUGGCCCCGAGCCUCAAGCGUAGUAAAAUCUCCAGCUUCAGAGGCCUCGGCGGUUGCUUGCCCCUAGAACCCAUCACCUAAGGUUGACCUCGGAUCAGGUAGGGAUACCCGCUGAACUUAA